GUCGUAUAUAUUAACCUAGGAAUAGCCAUAUUAGGACGGUGAACCAAAAAGUGGUUGAUUCGAAAAUAUGCACUAAUAUUAGUACCACGAGGGAGGGGUGAUACGUUACGACGUUAGACGGCACUUUUGCUUCGGUGUGUACCUUUUUGAUCAAAGCAAUCGGUUUAAUGGUGACAGCGUUACUCUGUCACCAGUUCGUAAGCAAAACCAUAAAAAUUCAUUGUGUGGAAAACUGCGUGAGGAUUUACUUCUAAAGUCGGACAGCCACUCGGAGGAAAGUGUAAACAGUUUGAACCUCACAGUCUCACCCAACCCCGAGUGAAGUUUAAACGAGCGGCUCUUAAUUCGAAGGAAACCAGGCUGGUGACGGUGAAAAAACAGAAAAAUAUGAUUGAUGAUCUUCUGUCAGUUAGCCUAGUCGUAAAUCCUUUUGAGGCCAGUCAGAUUGUGUCCCCAUCUACCCCGACCAUCGACUUGUUGGUUCCCGGAUCCCUCGCUACAUGAAGUUUUCCUUGAAAUGCAAGCAAAUCUAUCUACAUAGAAGGACUAUCCACAUUCCGAUCAACGGGGGAAAAAGAUCAGAUCCACAUCAGGACUGGGAACACGCUCUCCUUUUUUUCGGUGCCAGCCAUCCAGCACGACGAUGAUGACGAGGACGAACGACGAGGCUGUUCACUGUCACCAGCACCCGCAGUUGGUAAGCCUUUGUCCCGUUAGGGAUGGUUUCCAUCAUUUCCCGACUGGGACGAGCUCCGGGCUGGGUUGUAUCAAUUUGAGGUGAGUACGCAGAUAAAGAAAGAAAAGAAAAAUCCGCUUAAAGCCGGAGAGCCGAAAUCGUAAUUGGUAAAG